ACGCGUGGGAAUCUACCGUACCCUACGGAAUAGCUCCGGGAAACUGGAAUUAAUACCGUAUACGCCCUUUGGGGGAAAGAUUUAUCGGGGUAUGAUGAGCCCGCGUUGGAUUAGCUAGUUGGUGGGGUAAAGGCCUACCAAGGCGACGAUCCAUAGCUGGUCUGAGAGGAUGAUCAGCCACAUUGGGACUGAGACACGGCCCAAACUCCUACGGGAGGCAGCAGUGGGGAAUAUUGGACAAUGGGCGCAAGCCUGAUCCAGCCAUGCCGCGUGAGUGAUGAAGGUCUUAGGAUUGUAAAGCUCUUUCACCGAUGAAGAUAAUGACGGUAGUCGGAGAAGAAGCCCCGGCUAACUUCGUGCCAGCAGCCGCGGUAAUACGAAGGGGGCUAGCGUUGUUCGGAAUUACUGGGCGUAAAGCGCACGUAGGCGGAUAAUUAAGUCAGGGG
rnacentral:rRNA from 1 species